rnacentral:tmRNA from 1 species
GGGGACGAUUCAGGAUUCGACGGGCAUGAGAAGGGUAUGAACUGCAACCCGGGCUUUGACCAUCCCGUCCCGUAAGGGAUCCCGGUUAUCGGGAUAAAACUGGUCAGGCAAAAAUAAAUGCCAACAAUAAUUACGCACUGGCAGCUUAAUUAACGCUGCCACGCUGCUUCGCCUCCAAUCCACCGGGGGUGAAGUAAGCGUCGUUUUUGGGUGGAUGGUGAAGAUGGCGUCGCCCGGAAGCCAUCGACACCUAACAUAACCGGGCUGGUCUGCUAACAGGCAAGCUGGUUGGCCAGUUAGCAGACGAGAAUAAACAACCAGCUAUGGUUGUAGAAGUUCAUACUGGUCCAUGUCCGGACCCGGGUUCGACUCCCGGCGUCUCCACUA